UUGUUUAAUCAUGGCUGCUUACCGUUUGCCGAAGGCAUGUUAUUGUUUUGAUAUUACGAAAAUAUUGGAAAUGAAUAAAUGAAUGCCUUUAGGUUUAAUAUUCGCAACCAACGUUAACUGCAGCAGAGCAGCUGAGGGAAAAGUCUUGCUGACAACAACAGAGACGUUAAAUAAAGAGGAUCCAUUGCCCUUACAGCAGCACCACACUCCUCCUGCUUUGCAGAUCACUGUUCCCUGGCUGCUAGAUCCUCUUAUCAGUGUGACUCUAAGAUUCACAAAGACACAAUAUUCGCAAUUUCAGCCCCUAACAAGAAUGGACAAAAACAGAUAUAUUUUUAAAAAUUAAGUGACUAACACGAGACAGUGAGUAAAUUGUAGUUGCUAAUAUUUUCUGAUGCUCAUUUGGAUUAAAAGAUGAAUUCAUUUGAAAAGCAGUGACAUUUAUAGUCAACCUUUGUUUUACUGGAAGCCACAGAAAUUCACUGUUCAGGAGGAAAAAUAAAGACUGUAUAAAAAUUGUAUAUUUGUAUUACAGUUGAAGAUUUUUCCUGCAAUGAUCAACAACACUUUAAUGUCAAAUAUCUACAAAUAAUUCAAAACAAAGUACAGAUGUGAAACAAAAUGGCUGGUUGCAUAGUUGACCCUGUUUGAUUUAAUUUUAAGCAGAGACAGCAGCUGGGGGCUUGAGUGCGUGUGGAUGGAUUUGUGAUUUCUCCAUGCAUCAUGCAAAACUGCUUAAGCUCUGUCAAGUUGUAUGGGGAGUCAAUAGUCAUUAGUCAAGGCUUGUGAUAGAUUUUCAAAUGGGUUGAUGGGUCUGGACCCUCUAUCUUCACAAACCCUGCAGAGAGGCAUGCCACACAGCAUGACACUAUUAUGCCCAGGCUUCAUUGAGGGGACAGUGUGCUUUAGUUAGCUUGCAAUGUUUGGUUUAAACUUAAUACUGAAUUUGGUGUGAUCAGUUUGUAUCCCCUUUUAAAGUUGCAGUAGGCCUUAUCUUGCCCUGUCACACAAGUGCCCUUGUCACAUGGGCGGUCCUGCUCAAGGCUUACAGCAGCGCUACCCCUAUUUCAAGUGAUAUUCAAUGCCUCAGAAAUUUUGGUGUAUCAUUCCUCCAGCUGAUACUUUUCACUAGUCCUGUCAUACAGUGGUUUAAAAUAUUAAUUUGACUUUGUGAUGUACUUUUUUUUACCCACACUCAGACCGUGCAGUUAGAAUAGUAUUUUAAGUAAAAUUACUUGUCACACCUUGAUAACACAGAGGUGACCUUCAUUCAGCUUAAUUAUGAGACAUCUAAAAACUACUGGCUUCACUAGUGAUUGUUUGGAUAUAUAAAGAGAGUGGACACCUGAGAUUUUGUUUCUAUUUUUAUAGUUUUAUUUUAAUAUUAAAAUAUUUGUGUGUGUGUGUGUGUGUGUGUGUGUGUGUGUGUGUGUUGAUCAGUGUGGAAAACAUUUUUUUUAAUAAAUUCACUUUGUCAGUCUUGUAAAAUAAUAAUGCUUGACAACAGUGUUGCAAAUUUGUUAUUUCCUAAUAUUUGAUCCCGUUAAUAAUUUUUUAAAUUAUCAGCAGAAUUAGGAAGAAUGAGUCAAUAAUGGUGUGGCCUAUCAAUAAUUAAUUAUCAAAUGGAGAUCACACCUGUGCUUGAUGAUGUCUUAUCUGUUAAAAUUAUUGUCUGCCUGUGGGAAGUCACGGUAGACAGGAACAGUGCUGUAUUUCUCUUUUGAAAAAUAUAGGUGUAACUUCCAUACUUUUGAUUUUGUUUAUUGUAUUUUUAACUGAAUGAACACACAUUAGCUUGCUUUCCACCAGCAGCACCAACUUCACGGCAGCUUAGCAACGCGGUUGCCGCGCAACGCACAAGUUUCUGGUCGGAGUGGUGAUUUUCAGUUCGGACAGUCAUAUUUUAAUCAACACAUAGGAAACAGGUGUGUGUUUCCAGGGGGCAUAUUUUAAGUCACUCGCUCGGAGACGGCAACUGGGCUUCUAUUUCGCUGCCUCGAAUGCAACUUAGUGGGCUGAAAAUGUUUGUCUUGUUUUGUAUUUUCAUCUGCGCCUCGGCUGGUCGCUUUACAACCGCUAAACAUGUGAUGACCGGCCAGCCUCACGAAAUCCCAGCAAACAGCACCAAGGUUGUGACGGUAGCCCGGUUUGCUGUGGUCGAAUUCAACAAAGCAAACACAGAAGACCAGUUUUCCUACAAAAUUGUGAACAUAACAUCGGCCAAAAUUCAAGUGGUCGCUGGAAUAAACUACAUCCUGGAUGUGCAGCUUGGACGUACGGUGUGUAAGAAAAGCGACACGGCUGACGGUGAACCAUGUGAUUUCCAUUCCGAAUCAAA